rnacentral:rRNA from 1 species
GGGUUGUGAGGUUAAGCGACUAAGCGUACACGGUGGAUGCCCUGGCAGUCAGAGGCGAUGAAGGACGUGCUAAUCUGCGAUAAGCGUCGGUAAGGUGAUAUGAACCGUUAUAACCGGCGAUUUCCGAAUGGGGAAACCCAGUGUGUUUCGACACACUAUCAUUAACUGAAUCCAUAGGUUAAUGAGGCGAACCGGGGGAACUGAAACAUCUAAGUACCCCGAGGAAAAGAAAUCAACCGAGAUUCCCCCAGUAGCGGCGAGCGAACGGGGAGCAGCCCAGAGCCUGAAUCAGUGUGUGUGUUAGUGGAAGCGUCUGGAAAGGCGCGCGAUACAGGGUGACAGCCCCGUACACAAAAAUGCACAUGCUGUGAGCUCGAUGAGUAGGGCGGGACACGUGGUAUCCUGUCUGAAUAUGGGGGGACCAUCCUCCAAGGCUAAAUACUCCUGACUGACCGAUAGUGAACCAGUACCGUGAGGGAAAGGCGAAAAGAACCCCGGCGAGGGGAGUGAAAAAGAACCUGAAACCGUGUACGUACAAGCAGUGGGAGCACGCUUAGGCGUGUGACUGCGUACCUUUUGUAUAAUGGGUCAGCGACUUAUAUUCUGUAGCAAGGUUAACCGAAUAGGGGAGCCGAAGGGAAACCGAGUCUUAACUGGGCGUUAAGUUGCAGGGUAUAGACCCGAAACCCGGUGAUCUAGCCAUGGGCAGGUUGAAGGUUGGGUAACACUAACUGGAGGACCGAACCGACUAAUGUUGAAAAAUUAGCGGAUGACUUGUGGCUGGGGGUGAAAGGCCAAUCAAACCGGGAGAUAGCUGGUUCUCCCCGAAAGCUAUUUAGGUAGCGCCUCGUGAAUUCAUCUCCGGGGGUAGAGCACUGUUUCGGCAAGGGGGUCAUCCCGACUUACCAACCCGAUGCAAACUGCGAAUACCGGAGAAUGUUAUCACGGGAGACACACGGCGGGUGCUAACGUCCGUCGUGAAGAGGGAAACAACCCAGACCGCCAGCUAAGGUCCCAAAGUCAUGGUUAAGUGGGAAACGAUGUGGGAAGGCCCAGACAGCCAGGAUGUUGGCUUAGAAGCAGCCAUCAUUUAAAGAAAGCGUAAUAGCUCACUGGUCGAGUCGGCCUGCGCGGAAGAUGUAACGGGGCUAAACCAUGCACCGAAGCUGCGGCAGCGACGCUUAUGCGUUGUUGGGUAGGGGAGCGUUCUGUAAGCCUGUGAAGGUGUGCUGUGAGGCAUGCUGGAGGUAUCAGAAGUGCGAAUGCUGACAUAAGUAACGAUAAAGCGGGUGAAAAGCCCGCUCGCCGGAAGACCAAGGGUUCCUGUCCAACGUUAAUCGGGGCAGGGUGAGUCGACCCCUAAGGCGAGGCCGAAAGGCGUAGUCGAUGGGAAACAGGUUAAUAUUCCUGUACUUGGUGUUACUGCGAAGGGGACGGAGAAGGCUAUGUUGGCCGGGCGACGGUUGUCCCGGUUUAAGCGUGUAGGCUGGUUUUCCGGGCAAAUCCGGAAAAUCAAGGCUGAGGCGUGAUGACGAGGCACUACGGUGCUGAAGCAACAAAUGCCCUGCUUCCGGGAAAAGCCUCUAAGCAUCAGGUAACAUCAAAUCGUACCCCAAACCGACACAGGUGGUCAGGUAGAGAAUACCAAGGCGCUUGAGAGAACUCGGGUGAAGGAACUAGGCAAAAUGGUGCCGUAACUUCGGGAGAAGGCACGCUGAUAUGUAGGUGAAGUCCCUCGCGGAUGGAGCUGAAAUCAGUCGAAGAUACCAGCUGGCUGCAACUGUUUAUUAAAAACACAGCACUGUGCAAACACGAAAGUGGACGUAUACGGUGUGACGCCUGCCCGGUGCCGGAAGGUUAAUUGAUGGGGUCAGCGCAAGCGAAGCUCUUGAUCGAAGCCCCGGUAAACGGCGGCCGUAACUAUAACGGUCCUAAGGUAGCGAAAUUCCUUGUCGGGUAAGUUCCGACCUGCACGAAUGGCGUAAUGAUGGCCAGGCUGUCUCCACCCGAGACUCAGUGAAAUUGAACUCGCUGUGAAGAUGCAGUGUACCCGCGGCAAGACGGAAAGACCCCGUGAACCUUUACUAUAGCUUGACACUGAACAUUGAGCCUUGAUGUGUAGGAUAGGUGGGAGGCUUAGAAGUGUGGACGCCAGUCUGCAUGGCCGACCUUGAAAUACCACCCUUUAAUGUUUGAUGUUCUAACGUUGACCCGUAAUCCGGGUUGCGGACAGUGUCUGGUGGGUAGUUUGACUGGGGCGGUCUCCUCCCAAAGAGUAACGGAGGAGCACGAAGGUUGGCUAAUCCUGGUCGGACAUCAGGAGGUUAGUGCAAUGGCAUAAGCCAGCUUGACUGCGAGCGUGACGGCGCGAGCAGGUGCGAAAGCAGGUCAUAGUGAUCCGGUGGUUCUGAAUGGAAGGGCCAUCGCUCAACGGAUAAAAGGUACUCCGGGGAUAACAGGCUGAUACCGCCCAAGAGUUCAUAUCGACGGCGGUGUUUGGCACCUCGAUGUCGGCUCAUCACAUCCUGGGGCUGAAGUAGGUCCCAAGGGUAUGGCUGUUCGCCAUUUAAAGUGGUACGCGAGCUGGGUUUAGAACGUCGUGAGACAGUUCGGUCCCUAUCUGCCGUGGGCGCUGGAGAACUGAGGGGGCUGCUCCUAGUACGAGAGGACCGGAGUGGACGCAUCACUGGUGUUCGGGUUGUCAUGCCAAUGGCACUGCCCGGUAGCUAAAUGCGGAAGAGAUAAGUGCUGAAAGCAUCUAAGCACGAAACUUGCCCCGAGAUGAGUUCUCCCUGACUCCUUGAGAGUCCUGAAGGAACGUUGAAGACGACGACGUUGAUAGGCCGGGUGUGUAAGCGCAGCGAUGCGUUGAGCUAACCGGUACUAAUGAACCGUGAGGCUUAACCUUACAACGCCGAAGGUGUUU